UCUAGCGACGUAAGGAGAGUCUCAAAAAUCCACACAUAAAUACAGACCAGUUCCCACACAAAUGCAACAUUGCGUAUGUUGUGGCAACCGGGCACGGUGAGCGAACCACCUCCUCCCAAACAGGACACCAUUUCGUGGGGAAAAGCCAAAAAAGGUGCUCUGAAUCUCCUUAAUUGGCCUGGGCCAGGUUGCCACACAUCUCUCCACCCUUUGCUGAAGCCUCGGGUGGCCUUUCGGAGGGGCGGAGGGGCGGCGGUUCGGCGGGCAGAAUGGCUGCUUCUGCUGCCGGCGUGUCUCGUUUCGCGGGUCGUCUCCCACGGCCUUGUCUCCCGCGGCCUGGUCUCCGCGGCCUGGUCUCCCGCGUCGUCGUCUCCGGCUGCGUCGUCUCCGGCUGCGUCGUCUCAGGCUGCAUCAUUCUAUGGUUUGGGGGGUGGUUUGAGGUUGGCAUUCCCACCAAAAAUGGUCGGUCGAGUUGCCCACAUCCUCCACCAUAUGUGGCAACCCGGUACGCAGGGGUCCCAAGCAGCCUGCGUCGCGAACCCUCGUCACAACUGUGAUCAAGAGCUCUGAAGCACAGUCUUCACAGUGACCUGCUGUGACAUUCACCGUCUCUCUCCCUCACCACCGACCUCUGUGCCUGAUGUCAGCCUCCUGUGUCACUGUGAUGCCUUACACAGAGUGAAAGCAAAGCCAUGAAUAAAACUCAUCCACUCGUCUCCUCCUUCCCUGACCAAAUUACAUUACUGUUUCAUUUAGGGUGAAAAACAUCAAGCUAUAAUUCGGAGGAUAUUGAUGAUGUUACCAAAAUAAUUAUUAAAGUAUUACGAUAUGAUACAAUUCAUUAUUAAUUAUGCAAGUUUCCACACAUUUGGACUUCAAAGUGCCUGGUUUUAACUUUGUCCCAGUUUCUAAUCUGGCUGUGCGCUUUGGUCUUGUUGGAGUGGCUGGAUCAGGUUGUGCUGGUUGAAUUAACUGCAGGAACCGGUUGUCUUGAGUUAGCUUACAGAUUACCUUUUCUCUGCCUCCUAGCUGUGGGAGGUAGAGUUGAUGACAUGGCACUUUAUCAAGGACAUGUUAACAUAGCUGUACAAAUACUGCCUGGUAAAAUACAAGGGUCAUAUUAUGGUAUUUUGUGGUAAAUAAUUGUAUUGGGAUUGGGAUAUUAGAAUAUUUUUACAUGCCUUGAUGCAAAACAGCUUUCAGCCUCUGUUAAAAAACUGUCUGUUUUUGAUCCUGGCGCUUUGUGGACCCCCUCCCGAGUAGCAUACUCGGGAGGUGAUUGGUCUGAUUGCCCGAUCUGUUGUGAUUGGUCAAGCGCUUUGCGUGGAUGUCUGCAAUCUUAGGCCCUGCUCAGGCCCCUGAGUCCCGAGCAGCUGUAAACAAUGUGGGUAUCAGUGGAUUCAGUGGAUACCAGGGAUAGGAGGUGUCAGUUGGACGUGGACCUGUUGGAGCUAUCUUACAUUUCACAUGUAACGUUCUCACGGCCAAUUCUUUCACGCUAAAAUUCACGGGAACAACCGUGCGUUCGUUGAAUGUGUAUUUUAUAAUUUUCUGUGUGCACUUGUGGAAACUGCGACAGAAUGCGCAGCAAAGUGGAAAACUUGUGCUGUCAGGAAACCAACAGCAUUAGACAAAGGAGAAACACUGCCUCCGCCUCCAGCUGGGUUUCUGAAUCACUUAGUUGCAUUAUUAUGUGCAUUAUCCUUUGCCUUAAAAAUGCAUGCUAAUCUUGUCCAUUAUAUUUAAAAUACAUGUUUGUUUUCAUGUUAUUUGCUUUAUU
ensembl:lncRNA